AAAGUUUUUGUUUAAUUUAGUUAUUUAUAUUUAAUUUAUAAAUUAAUAUAAUAUGUUUUAGUUUUAGUAUAGUAUAUAGGAUAAAUAUUUGUAAAAUGUACUGUAAGGGAUUAAUGAAAUAGUUGAAAUAAUGAAUUAUUAAAAAGUAGGUUAAUUACUGUACCUUUUGUAUCAGGGUUUAUUAAAUUUAUUUAAUUAAUUUAUUUUCUCGAAUUAAAGAGGGCUAAAUUUUUAUAUUUAUUAAAGUAGCAAAUUUAUAUAAAAUAGAAGUUUAGGAAUGAAAUAUUAUUCGUUCUUUAAGAUAUCUAGUUUCUCAAGAAAUGAAUUUAAUUCAGGUGUUAUUAGAAACAAAUUUUUAAAAGGUUAUGUUUUAGUAUAAUGCUAAAUUUAUAGGGGAUAAGCUCUAUGAAUUUCUAAAUAAUUUUAUAUAAAUAAGUUUGUAAGCUUGAAGUUAGCUAUCAAUUAAAGUAUGUAAUAAUUUAUUUAUAGUUAUAUUUAUUUAAAAUUUUAUUAGGUGAAUAUUGGGAUAUCAUUAAAAAUAUUUUUUGGUGAAAAAUAAUGAUGAAAUUAUUAUAAUAUAAAUAAUAAAUUUAUAAUCUUAAGCAAGGAACUCGGCAAUGAUUUUACUCGCCUGUUUAUCAAAAACAUCGUCUUUUGUGUAUAUAGAAGAUAUAACCUGCCCACUGAAGAAGGUUGAAGGGCCGCGGUAUUGUGACCGUGCAAAGGUAGCAUAAUCAUUAGUCUUCUAAUUAAAGGCUGGCAUGAAUGGUUGGACGAGGUAAAAGCUGUCUCAUUUAAGAUAUUUAUAAUUUAACUUUUUAGUGAAAAGGCUAAAAUGAAGUUGUAGGACGAGAAGACCCUAUAGAGCUUAAUAAUGUAAUUAAUAUGAAAUUUAGUAAAGGUUUUAUUAUUAAUAAAGUUAUUUUGUUGGGGUGACAGGAAAAUAAGUAAACUUUUCUAUAAAAGUGACACUAAUGAGUGAAAAUAUGAUCCAUUAUUAAUGAUUAUAAGAUCAAGUUACCUUAGGGAUAACAGCGUAAUCCUUUUUGAGAGUUCUUAUCGACAAAAGGGUUUGCGACCUCGAUGUUGGACUAAGAAAAUAUUUGGGUGUAGAUGUUCAAAUGUUAGGUCUGUUCGACCUUUAAAUUCUUACAUGAUCUGAGUUCAGACCGGUGUGAGCCAGGUUGGUUUCUAUCCUCAAUUAAAAUAAAUAUUUUAGUACGAAAGGACCAAAUAUUUAAGAUAAUCUUUAAAAAAGAAUACUAUU
rnacentral:rRNA from 1 species